rnacentral:rRNA from 1 species
UACGUAGGGACCGAGCGUUGUCCGGAUUCAUUGGGCGUAAAGAGCUCGUAGGCGGCUGCUCAAGUCGAAUGUGAAAACUCGAGGCUCAACCUCGAGCCUGCAUUCGAUACUGGGCGGCUAGAGUCUGGUAGGGGGAUCUGGAAUUCCGGGUGUAGCGGUGAAAUGCGUAGAUAUCCGGAGGAACACCAGCGGCGAAGGCGGCGCUCUGGGCCGGUACUGACGCUGAGGAGCGAAAGCGUGGGGAGCGAACAGG